CUGGUCUGAAAGGACCCAGAUUAUAACAGGAGGCUGAUGAUCCGUCCUGGCAGUUGCAGGUGUGAGCAUUCAUACAGCUGUCUGAUGCUCAUGUAUGAUACUGCACACAAAC